rnacentral:rRNA from 1 species
UACAGAGGGUGCAAGCGUUGUUCGGAGUUAUUGGGCGUAAAGCGCGUGUAGGCGGCUUUGCAAGUCGGGUGUGAAAGCCCUCAGCUCAACUGAGGAAGUGCGCCCGAAACUGCAGAGCUUGAGUACCGGAGAGGAUGGCGGAAUUCCCCAAGUAGAGGUGAAAUUCGUAGAUAUGGGGAGGAACACCGGUGGCGAAGGCGGCCGUCUGGACGGAUACUGACGCUGAGACGCGAAAGCUAGGGGAGCGAACGGG